AUCAUCAAAGCUUGCUUUGAUGGAUGGCGACCGGCGCACGGGUGAGUAACACGUAUCCCCCUUGACGACAACACUGGGAUAGCCUUUCGAAAGAAAGAUUACUUCCGGAUGGCAUAGUUUUCCCGCAUGGGAUAAUUAUUAAAGAAUUUCGGUUGUCGAUGGGGAUGCGUUCCAUUAGGCAGUUGGCGGGGUAACGGCCCACCAAACCUACGAUGGAUAGGGGUUCUGAGAGGAAGGUCCCCCACAUUGGAACUGAGACACGGUCCAAACUCCUACGGGAGGCAGCAGUGAGGAAUAUUGGUCAAUGGACGAGAGUCUGAACCAGCCAAGUAGCGUGAAGGAUGACUGCCCUAUGGGUUGUAAACUUCUUUUAUACGGGAAUAAAGUGAGUCACGUGUGGCUUUUUGUAUGUACCGUAUGAAUAAGGAUCGGCUAACUCCGUGCCAGCAGCCGCGGUAAUACGGAGGAUCCGAGCGUUAUCCGGAUUUAUUGGGUUUAAAGGGAGCGUAGGCGGGUUGUUAAGUCAGUUGUGAAAGUUUGCGGCUCAACCGUAAAAUUGCAGUUGAUACUGGCGACCUUGAGUGCAACAGAGGUAGGCGGAAUUCGUGGUGUAGCGGUGAAAUGCUUAGAUAUCACGAAGAACUCCGAUUG
rnacentral:rRNA from 1 species